UACGAACCAAAGAGGGAAAGAGUAAUAAAGAAUCACUUGGCCAGAGAGGGAAUGCCACAGGCUGGAAGCAUUCCUGCAGCGUAUCUUUAUGAAAGACAUUCCUUAGGUUCCUCAUCGAACAGUUAAGCUUAGCUUAGUAGGUGUAGGACGUAGCAGGCGUUAACUGUUUAAGCGGAAGCCUUUGCUUCAAUUAGGGUGGCAACGCGGGAACUCAACUCCCGUCCCUAUU
rnacentral:ncRNA from 1 species